CUUAGAAGAGAGUGGCAAUUUGCUAGAGUUAGAAAUGUUUAGUUUUUCUUCCUUUUUUUGGGCCUUAAGCCCCUUUGACUAUCAAAGAAAAUAUAAAAACUUGAAAGAAACCAACAGAAGAGGAGAGGAGGGAGGCAAGUCAUGUGAAGUCGCUGGCGUUGGAGGCGCCGAGACCGAUCCACGGAGAGAGCCAGAGUCAGACAGCUCGCUGCGGGAGGGAGUGGCGCUUCGAGUCUGCAGCCGUAGGGAGGCAAAGCAUCAUUCACCAAUGGAAGUCUUUGCUCAGGCGCUGGUAGGGGAGGGAAGUGCUGUUUGAAUCGCAGCCUGAAGCCGGGUCGGGUGGAGCUUCUGUGUUGGUUGGAUCUGGGCCAGGUUGUUGGCCCGUUGCCCUGAAAGAAAAAAAAAAGAAAGAAAGCUCGAAGUGUUUGAAGGCAAUGGUGGAUAUUUACGGUCUCAUCCUUGGCGUCAACCCUUUGAAGAUGAAGAAAUUGCAGCAGUCAUGGAGGCAGCGCAGGGAGUUGAAGUGGAAGCUCGAAAUAUGUUUGUUAUUGCCUUUUCUCCUUUUCCUUAUCUUUGGUUUCACACGGUAUCCUCCAGCCCGGCAGGCUAAGGAAUAAUCCGUCGCGGUACUGACAACGACAAAAAAAUAAAAAAGAAACCAACAGAAACAAGAAUUGCAUAAUCGUACGAUUUUGCGAGGAAAUGGUCGCAUUGGCCACACUGCAACCAGGGAAACAACAUGUACCUCUUUCCGGGCAUUGGUCUUGGAACACUCUUGUCUGGUUCUACAGACAUCUCUGAUGGUAUGCUACAGGCCAUAGUAGGUACCUUGCUACAGGCUGUUGGUGAGCGGAGUGUCAAAAAGGAAGGGUGAAAAACAAUACUCACACUUCAAUGGCUUCUCCUUCUCUCUCAGUUCCCUACGCUCUUCUUCCAAGAAUUCAACAAACACACCUCAUUGAUCGUCAUGAUGAUCCUAUAACUGUUGACCGAAGCAUCUUCAGUUUAUCACAAAACAAGCGUUAUGAAUGGAAGAACAUGUUGAAGGGUCAUGUUGGAGCAUGGUGUGUUGGUUCUUCUCAUGGUUGGAUUGUGCCUUUGGAUCAGAAUGGAGUUCCACUUCUUCUAAACCCUUCUUCUUUCACUACCAUUAAGCUACCACCUCUUCCCCUUUUAUUCUUGCACCCUGUCAUGUAUUCUUACUUUGCUGAAUACUUAAGGAAAACCUUUAUAGUCAAAGCAAUCUUGAUGUAUUGUUCCUCUCCUUCAAGCUACAUUCUUGCCAUCAUAUAUGGUUCCAACUACAAGAUUGCUUAUUGCAAUUCUGCAAUUUGGGUUGAGCUCUCUGAUGAUAAGCAAUCUUAUUGUGAGAUUGUGUUCAGCAACAACUAUCUUUAUGCCUUGACACAAGAUGGUUCUGUUGAAGUUUGGAAUAUUUGUGGGAAAAUUAAAGAUUGAUUCUUUUAACACCAACUGUGGAGGUGAAUUAUGAAGAGGAGAAACCAUAUUUAGGAGAUAGCUUCUCAAGAAAUUUGUACUUGGUGGUAUCUGCAGAAGAAAUCUUGCUGGUGAUAAGGUUUAUUGGGAAUUUUGUGAAUGAUGACGGGUUGGUAGUAGAAGAAGGAGAUCUUUUAUCAUCUGAGGAUACAUAACCAUUGAUUUGUCCUUAUAGAACAAAGUAUUUUACUGUUUAUAAACUUGAUAUUGGAGACAAGAAGUGGAAAAAAAAUGAGAUUUUUACAUGAUAAAGUUCUGUUCUUGGGUGCUAAUGAGUCUGUAUCAAUGGAUGUUAAAGUUUGCUUGGGGUGUGAAGCAAACUCAAUCUACUUCACAGAUGAUAGGUGGGAAGGGAUGACUUUGGACUACAUGUAUGGUGGACAUGAUUGGGGUGUUUUCAAUCUUGAAGAGAAAUGUGUUAAGAGCCUCAUGCAAUGUGCAAAUAGGAUUGAUCCUCCACCAAUUUGGGUAGUUCUAUAGUAAUUUAGGGUUUGCCAUUUAGAAUGAUAUGGUUCUUUUGUAAUUGAUUUUUUUUUUUUUUUUGUUUCUUCUCUAUUUGACAAUUCAAAAAAUCAUGUAAAGAACUUAAGAUUCACUGACUUUUUUUUAAGUGCA